rnacentral:rRNA from 1 species
GACGAACUGUGCAAACGUUAUUCGGAAUCACUGGGCUUGAAGAGUGCGUAGGCGGUUUCGUAAGUAGGGUGUGAAAGCCCCCGGCUCAACCGGGGAAUGGCGUCCUAAACUGCGAGGCUGGAGUGAGGUAGGGGUGUGCGGAACUUCCGGUGGAGCGGUGAAAUGUGUUGAUAUCGGAAGGAACGCCGGUGGCGAAAGCGGCACACUGGACCUUGUCUGACGCUGAGGCACGAAAGCCAGGGGAGCAAACGGG